CCUGCAGCUACCAUAGCACCUAAAGCUGCCGUCCCCCGCACCCCUCCCCCUCGUAGUCCAAACCCUUCUCCAGAAAGGCCCAGAUCCGCUCUGGCCGCAGCUAUUCUUGUGACAACCCUAACUGGACGGACCAUUGCCAUCCCUCAGCCACGUCAACGAUCUCUUUCUGAGAGUGAUGCCAGUUACUUGCAAGAUCAAGAAAAUUAUAUUGAGCCAUAUGCCACAGUCACUGAGCUGCGAAUGCGUCACAACUGGAAGAGCAAUGGU